AAGUCGAGCGGAACGAGUUAACUGAACCUUCGGGGGACGUUAACGGCGUCGAGCGGCGGACGGGUGAGUAAUGCCUAGGAAAUUGCCCUGAUGUGGGGGAUAACCAUUGGAAACGAUGGCUAAUACCGCAUGAUGCCUACGGGCCAAAGAGGGGGACCUUCGGGCCUCUCGCGUCAGGAUAUGCCUAGGUGGGAUUAGCUAGUUGGUGAGGUAAGGGCUCACCAAGGCGACGAUCCCUAGCUGGUCUGAGAGGAUGAUCAGCCACACUGGAACUGAGACACGGUCCAGACUCCUACGGGAGGCAGCAGUGGGGAAUAUUGCACAAUGGGCGCAAGCCUGAUGCAGCCAUGCCGCGUGUGUGAAGAAGGCCUUCGGGUUGUAAAGCACUUUCAGUCGUGAGGAAGGUAGUGURGUUAAUAGMUGCAUUAUUUGACGUUAGCGACAGAAGAAGCACCGGCUAACUCCGUGCCAGCAGCCGCGGUAAUACGGAGGGUGCGAGCGUUAAUCGGAAUUACUGGGCGUAAAGCGCAUGCAGGUGGUUUGUUAAGUCAGAUGUGAAAGCCCGGGGCUCAACCUCGGAAUAGCAUUUGAAACUGGCAGACUAGAGUACUGUAGAGGGGGGUAGAAUUUCAGGUGUAGCGGUGAAAUGCGUAGAGAUCUGAAGGAAUACCGGUGGCGAAGGCGGCCCCCUGGACAGAUACUGACACUCAGAUGCGAAAGCGUGGGGAGCAAACAGGAUUAGAUACCCUGGUAGUCCACGCCGUAAACGAUGUCUACUUGGAGGUUGUGGCCUUGAGCCGUGGCUUUCGGAGCUAACGCGUUAAGUAGACCGCCUGGGGAGUACGGUCGCAAGAUUAAAACUCAAAUGAAUUGACGGGGGCCCGCACAAGCGGUGGAGCAUGUGGUUUAAUUCGAUGCAACGCGAAGAACCUUACCUACUCUUGACAUCCAGAGAACUUUCCAGAGAUGGAUUGGUGCCUUCGGGAACUCUGAGACAGGUGCUGCAUGGCUGUCGUCAGCUCGUGUUGUGAAAUGUUGGGUUAAGUCCCGCAACGAGCGCAACCCUUAUCCUUGUUUGCCAGCGAGUAAUGUCGGGAACUCCAGGGAGACUGCCGGUGAUAAACCGGAGGAAGGUGGGGACGACGUCAAGUCAUCAUGGCCCUUACGAGUAGGGCUACACACGUGCUACAAUGGCGCAUACAGAGGGCGGCCAACUUGCGAAAGUGAGCGAAUCCCAAAAAGUGCGUCGUAGUCCGGAUUGGAGUCUGCAACUCGACUCCAUGAAGUCGGAAUCGCUAGUAAUCGUGGAUCAGAAUGCCACGGUGAAUACGUUCCCGGGCCUUGUACACACCGCCCGUCACACCAUGGGAGUGGGCUGCAAAAGAAGUAGGUAGUUUAACCUUCGGGGGGA
rnacentral:rRNA from 1 species